rnacentral:rRNA from 1 species
AGUGAACGCUGGCGGUAGGCCUAACACAUGCAAGUCGAACGGCAGCACAGUAAGCGCUUGCUCUUACGGGUGGCGAGUGGCGGACGGGUGAGGAAUACAUCGGAAUCUACUUUUUCGUGGGGGAUAACGUAGGGAAACUUACGCCAAUACCGCAUACGACCUACGGGUGAAAGCAGGGGAUCUUCGGACCUUGCGCGAUUGAAUGAGCCGAUGUCGGAUUAGCUAGUUGGCGGGGUAAAGGCCCACCAAGGCGACGAUCCGUAGCUGGUCUGAGAGGAUGCUCAGCCACACUGGAACUGAGACACGGUCCAGACUCCUACGGGAGGCAGCAGUGGGGAAUAUUCGACAAUGGGGGCAAGCCUGAUCCAGCCAUACCGCGUGGGUGAAGAAGGCCUUCGGGUUGUAAAGCCCUUUUGUUGGGAAAGAAAAGAAGCAGGUUAAUACCCCGCUGUUCUGACGGUACCAAAAGAAUAAGCACCGGCUAAACUCGUG